UACAGGGGGUGCAAACGUUGCUCGGAAUUAUUGGGCGUAAAGCGCGCGUAGGCGGCCACUUAAGUCGGAUGUGAAAGCCCUUGGCUCAACUGAGGAAGUGCACCCGAAACUGAAUGGCUUGAGUACUAAAGAGGGUCGCGGAAUUCCCGGUGUAGAGGUGAAAUUCGUAGAUAUCGGGAGGAACACCGGUGGCGAAGGCGGCGACCUGGGUAGAUACUGACGCUGAGGCGCAAAAGCGUGGGGAGCAAACAGG
rnacentral:rRNA from 1 species